rnacentral:rRNA from 1 species
CCUACGGGAGGCAGCAGUGGGGAAUAUUGGGCAAUGGAGGAAACUCUGACCCAGCAACGCCGCGUGAAUGAUGAAGGUCUUCGGAUUGUAAAGUUCUGUGAUGGGGGAUGAAAACAAUGACGGUACCCCAAUAGCAAGCCACGGCUAACUACGUGCCAGCAGCCGCGGUAAUACGGAGGUGGCAAGCGUUAUCCGGAAUUACUGGGCGUAAAGGGUGCGUAGGUGGUUUAGUAAGUUGGCGGUGUAAUUCCGGGGCUCAACCUCGGCGCUACCGCCAAAACGAUUAGACUAGAGUGCAGGAGGGGUAAGCGGAAUUCCUAGUGUAGCGGUGGAAUGCUUAGAUAUUAUGAGGAACAUCAGGGGAGAAGGCGACUUACUGGACUGUAACUGACACUGAGGCACGAAAGCGUGGGGAGCAAACAGGAUUAGAUACCCCUGUAGUC